UCUCCGUUGGUGAACCAGCGGAGGGAUCAUUACCGAGUUAUUCUACUCCCAAACCCCUGUGAACUUAUACCCUUACUGUUUCUUCGGCGGGUAAACGCCCCCGAAGGCCCUCGAGUGCCGCCGGAACCAGGCGCCCGCCGGGGGACCCAAACUCUUGUAUCUUUUUUAUAGAAUGUAUGAGUGGAAGCACAAACAAAUGAAUCAAAACUUUCAACAACGGAUCUCUUGGUUCUG
rnacentral:misc_RNA from 1 species